GAUGAACGCUGGCGGCGUGCCUAAUACAUGCAAGUCGAGCGAACAGACGAGGAGCUUGCUCCUCUGACGUUAGCGGCGGACGGGUGAGUAACACGUGGAUAACCUACCUAUAAGACUGGGAUAACUUCGGGAAACCGGAGCUAAUACCGGAUAAUAUAUUGAACCGCAUGGUUCAAUAGUGAAAGACGGUUUUGCUGUCACUUAUAGAUGGAUCCGCGCCGCAUUAGCUAGUUGGUAAGGUAACGGCUUACCAAGGCAACGAGGCGUAGCCGACCUGAGAGGGUGUUGGGCCCACCUGAAACUGAGACCCGGCCCGGACUCCUAGGGGAGGCAGCAGUGGGGAAUGUUCCGAAAUGGGGGAAAGCUUGAAGGAGCAACGCCGGGUGGGUGAAGAAGUGCUUCGGAUGGGAAAACGUUUUUAUUGGGGAAAAACAAAUGUGUAAGUAACUAAGCACGUCUUGACGGUACCUAAUAAGAAACCCACGCCUAACUAGGG
rnacentral:rRNA from 1 species